UACGUAGGGGGCAAGCGUUGUCCGGAUUUAUUGGGCGUAAAGAGCGUGUAGGCGGUUGGGUAGGUCCGUUGUGAAAACUCGAGGCUCAACCUCGAGACGCCGAUGGAAACCCCCCAGCUAGAGUCCGGAAGAGGAGAGUGGAAUUCCUGGUGUAGCGGUGAAAUGCGCAGAUAGUCAGGAAGAACACCCGUGGCUAAGGCGGCUCUCUAGUACGGUACUGACGCUGAGACGCGAAAGCGUGGGGAGCGAACAGG
rnacentral:rRNA from 1 species